rnacentral:rRNA from 1 species
GACAGCAGCCGCCGCGGGAAUACCGAGGGUGCGAGCGUUAAUCGGAUUUACUGGGCGUAAAGCGUGCGUAGGCGGCUUCUUAAGUCGGAUGUGAAAUCCCUGAGCUUAACUUAGGAAUUGCAUUCGAUACUGGGAAGCUAGAGUAUGGGAGAGGAUGGUAGAAUUCCAGGUGUAGCGGUGAAAUGCGUAGAGAUCUGGAGGAAUACCGAUGGCGAAGGCAGCCAUCUGGCCUAAUACUGACGCUGAGGUACGAAAGCAUGGGGAGCAAACAGGAUUAGAUACCCCAGUAGUCCCUGUCUCUUAUAC